rnacentral:lncRNA from 1 species
UUCAUUAGGGAGUCGGACCCAUAGCGUUGUCGUCGGCUACCAAUGAAGUAGGCUAUGAACGAUUGAUCUAAUUGCUUGAAGGAAUAAAUCAAGAUCGACUGCAGGCUUGAGCACUAAUACGAGCUGCUUUCAAUAGGUGGAGGAAAAAGCUUGGCAGAAGAUCCUAUCAGUUGCCCCAUGUAAGAGCAUGAUAGUUUUGAAACUUCUAUGUGAUCCACAGGAUCAAUGGUCCCAUCAUAUGCUUCUAGCUAUGAUAUUUUGAAGUUGGAUGGGAUUGGUUCAUUCAUGAUUUUCUAUUAAAGCACAGGUCGGCAUUGAAGGUGACCUCCCCAUCUUGUGUUGAGGUCCGAUCUUAUAGUGCUUCAAUUUGUCUAUGCAUCUCUUGAAGUUUAUGAUAUACAUUGGCAUCUUAAGCAUUGUAAUGCUUGGAGUGCUGAGGUGAUCUUCUCGGGGUAGAAUCUUUUCUUAACUGAGUCAAGGAGUGCCUCUAAUGCCCCUAUUCCGGACUCCUCGAUCGAUUGUGCCAGCUCUACUGCACUCGAUCUAGACUUCAAGGAGGUAACAGAGGUUGUUGUUGUUAUCAAGGUGCUUGGUGUAGGAUCAAUUGAGGGG